AUGAACGCUAGCUACAGGCUUAACACAUGCAAGUCGAGGGGCAGCAUGGUCUUAGCUUGCUAAGGCCGAUGGCGACCGGCGCACGGGUGAGUAACACGUAUCCAACCUGCCGUCUACUCUUGGACAGCCUUCUGAAAGGAAGAUUAAUACAAGAUGGCAUCAUGAGUCCGCAUGUUCACAUGAUUAAAGGUAUUCCGGUAGACGAUGGGGAUGCGUUCCAUUAGAUAGUAGGCGGGGUAACGGCCCACCUAGUCUUCGAUGGAUAGGGGUUCUGAGAGGAAGGUCCCCCACAUUGGAACUGAGACACGGUCCAAACUCCUACGGGAGGCAGCAGUGAGGAAUAUUGGUCAAUGGGCGAGAGCCUGAACCAGCCAAGUAGCGUGAAGGAUGACUGCCCUAUGGGUUGUAAACUUCUUUUAUAAAGGAAUAAAGUCGGGUAUGCAUACCCGUUUGCAUGUACUUUAUGAAUAAGGAUCGGCUAACUCCGUGCCAGCAGCCGCGGUAAUACGGAGGAUCCGAGCGUUAUCCGGAUUUAUUGGGUUUAAAGGGAGCGUAGAUGGAUGUUUAAGUCAGUUGUGAAAGUUUGCGGCUCAACCGUAAAAUUGCAGUUGAUACUGGAUAUCUUGAGUGCAGUUGAGGCAGGCGGAAUUCGUGGUGUAGCGGUGAAAUGCUUAGAUAUCACGAAGAACUCCGAUUGCGAAGGCAGCCUGCUAAGCUGCAACUGACAUUGAGGCUCGAAAGUGUGGGUAUCAAACAGGAUUAGAUACCCUGGUAGUCCACACGGUAAACGAUGAAUACUCGCUGUUUGCGAUAUACAGCAAGCGGCCAAGCGAAAGCGUUAAGUAUUCCACCUGGGGAGUACGCCGGCAACGGUGAAACUCAAAGGAAUUGACGGGGGCCCGCACAAGCGGAGGAACAUGUGGUUUAAUUCGAUGAUACGCGAGGAACCUUACCCGGGCUUAAAUUGCAGAUGAAUUACGGUGAAAGCCGUAAGCCGCAAGGCAUCUGUGAAGGUGCUGCAUGGUUGUCGUCAGCUCGUGCCGUGAGGUGUCGGCUUAAGUGCCAUAACGAGCGCAACCCUUGUUGUCAGUUACUAACAGGUUCCGCUGAGGACUCUGACAAGACUGCCAUCGUAAGAUGUGAGGAAGGUGGGGAUGACGUCAAAUCAGCACGGCCCUUACGUCCGGGGCUACACACGUGUUACAAUGGGGGGUACAGAGGGCCGCUACCACGCGAGUGGAUGCCAAUCCCAAAAACCUCUCUCAGUUCGGACUGGAGUCUGCAACCCGACUCCACGAAGCUGGAUUCGCUAGUAAUCGCGCAUCAGCCACGGCGCGGUGAAUACGUUCCCGGGCCUUGUACACACCGCCCGUCAAGCCAUGGGAGCCGGGGGUACCUGAACUGCGUAACCGCGAGGAGCGCCCUAGGGUAAAACUGGUGACUGGGGCU
rnacentral:rRNA from 1 species